CAGGCCUAACACAUGCAAGUCGAACGAGACCUUCGGGUCUAGUGGCGCACGGGUGCGUAACGCGUGGGAAUCUGCCCCUUGGUUCGGAAUAACAGUUAGAAAUGACUGCUAAUACCGGAUAACGACGUAAGUCCAAAGAUUUAUCGCCGAGGGAUGAGCCCGCGUAGGAUUAGCUAGUUGGUGUGGUAAAGGCGCACCAAGGCGACGAUCCUUAGCUGGUCUGAGAGGAUGAUCAGCCACACUGGGACUGAGACACGGCCCAGACUCCUACGGGAGGCAGCAGUGGGGAAUAUUGGACAAUGGGCGAAAGCCUGAUCCAGCAAUGCCGCGUGAGUGAUGAAGGCCUUAGGGUUGUAAAGCUCUUUUACCCGGGAUGAUAAUGACAGUAUCGGGAGAAUAAGCUCCGGCUAACUCCGUGCCAGCAGCCGCGGUAAU
rnacentral:rRNA from 1 species